UUUUUAUAUUUUUAGUAGAGACGGGGUUUCCCCAUGUUGGCCAGGCUGGUCUCGAACUCCUGACCUCAGGUGAUCCGCCCACCUUGGCCUCCCAAAGUGCUGGGAUUACAGACAUGAGCCACGGUGCCUGGCCUGAGUUUUACUCUCUUUGGCCACAGCCCUGGGCUCCAGUCAGGGAGGGAGAUGGGGUCCCAUAAGCAGGGGAGAGCAGGGUGAGCCGGGAGCGCCUCCACACCGGCUUCUAUCUCUCAGUUUCCUGUGCCUGGUCCCUGAGGAAGCCAAGACCUCUGCCUUCCUGGAGGAGACGGGCUAUGACACAUACGUCCACGAUGCUUAUGGCCUGUUCCAGGAGUGCAGCUCCCGCGUCGCCUCCUGGGGCUGGCCUCUGACCCCCAUGCCUUUGGACCCCCAUGAGCCCGAGCGACCUUUCUUCGAGGGCCACUUCCUCCGAGUGCUGUUUGACCGCAUGUCCCGGAUUCUGGAUCAGGUAGCCAGUGGGCCCGGGCCAGGAGAACUCCAGGCUGGUGCCCCUGGGGUCCUUCAAGAGCAGAGGCUGGCCACAGGGUUGCCUCCGCUUCGGUUCUUUGGU
rnacentral:sRNA from 1 species